rnacentral:lncRNA from 1 species
UGCAAGUGAUAAUAAGUUUGCCACUAUACCUGGGAGCUGAGCUUGUAGCGCCCAAUUAAGUCAAUGUAAUACGGAAUAAGGGCUACCAAGCGAACCAUAUCAUCCAUGUGUUUAGCAUCAGGUAGGGCGAACUUGAAAAGCAGCAUCUUCCUGUGUUUGCCAGGAAGUUGGUCCGAAAAAUGCAUUGAGAUGAAAUACUUUCCAAACUUUUCGAACGACUUGUCACCAAAAACCUACAGAGCGCAAUUGCAUCAUCCAAAUUUGAUGAGUAUGUAUAACAGAUGAUUUGAGGAGAUACACAAGCCACACAUUAACAAGCAAAGAUCAACAAUCUAGGUCCAACAGAACUGAGAUCCAUUUCCACAUCAACAGAAGAGGACUCAGAUAUCCCCAGUGGAUGACAAUUUAUAAUCAUGCACCAAUUCACUAUAGACAUAAAACAAUUGGAAUAUAUUAUCCUAAAUACACAGCAAAAGGAACCUAGGGGAUUUUUCUGUACAUCACAAGUCUGCACCCUGUAUCUCCGUAUAACUGGACAGAAACAAACUUGAUUCGAUUCACACAAAAAAAAAAAAAAGGGAUGAUGUAUGGUUCGCUCUUAGAUACCACACUUCCGUCGCCCUGUGUUGACAUGAAGAAUUAAACAAAGGGAAGUAGUGGAAGAAGUGGGAGAAGUGGCCAUAUCACUUACCAAAUGGGGAGGAAUGACUAGUCCACUACUAGUUAGUGGAGGAAGUGGGAGGAGUGGCCAUAUCACUUACCAAAUGGGGAGGAGUGGCUAGUCCACUACUAGUUAUUUAUUCUUCCACCAUUGAGUGCUUAUUGCUUUUGUUUCCUUUAAAUACACAAUGUAUGUUACACAAUUAAACACACAAUUUCAAUACAAACAUUUCUUUCAUUCUCUCAAUCUCACAAAUCCUCUCAUUCUCUUAAAUUCUCAAAUUUCUCUUCUCUCUCAAAUACUUACCGUUACUUCACUCCUUUUUACUUUGUUCGUGUGCUUCAUCACGGUUAAAACACUUAGAAGCUCUCAUAAUCCCACAAAUUAUCACCUUGAUCACGUCAACAAACCAUUUUUCAACACUAAUAACCUCACGUUGUCUUAAACUUAGUCUGUAUAUAAUACGCUCAUAAUCAUUCAUUAACUCUCCACGCAAACAAGAAAAAACGAAAGAGAGAAAAAACAUGUCAUCUUCUUCUUCUCUGACGCAGAGAAACCCAACUAUUUCGCAAGAGCCAUCAGACUCCCCUCCUCCUCCACAGCUAAGGAGACAACCUUCGAUAUCUCAACAUGCCGUGUCACAGACGCUGACGUCAGUUGCAAACUUAGCCAACCUCCUCCCGACAGGAACGCUACUAGCUUUCCAGUUCCUCAUUCCCGUCUUCACAUCAAACGGCUCGUGCGAGUACUCCACGCGCGUUUUAACCGCAGUGCUCUUAACGCUCCUCUCCAUCUCAUGCUUCCUCAGCUCGUUCACGGACAGCGUCAAAGCAGAAGACGGUAACGUGUACUACGGGUUUGCGACUCGUAAAGGUAUGUGGGUUUUUGACUACCCUGACCCCUCCGGUUUGGGUUUGCCCGAUCUUAGUAAAUACCGGAUCCGGAUCGUCGACUGGAUCCACGCAGUUUUGUCUGUGCUUGUGUUUGGUGCGGUGGCUUUGAGGGAGAAAAAUGCUGUGAGCUGUUUUUAUCCUGCACCGGAGCAAGGAACCAAGAAGGUUUUGGAUAUUGUUCCGAUGGGUGUUGGUGUUAUUUGCGGUUUGUUGUUCUUGGUUUUUCCGGCGAGAAGACACGGCAUCGGUUAUCCGGUCACCGGAAACGGAGGUCGCCGUUAGAUCCUUUAUAUUUUUUAAUUCCCAUGUACGUAUAAACAAUUGAUUCAUAUAAUUAUGUGCAAAGGUGGUUGGCUUAUAUUCUUUUCUUUUUUUGUUAUCAUUUUGUGUUUGUCUAUCUGUGUUCCUUCUCAUCUACUUCCUGUAAAUUGAUUAUAAGUUUUAUCGUUCGUUGAGUGGAAAUUAAUAACGCAUGCAACGACCUUAUAAUAAGUCUGACGACGCGAUAUAAAGAAAAAAAAAAUACAAUUGAAUAAGAUUAUUGACUCAUGAAGAUACAAACCCAUGUUGACUAUGUCGCUUAAGAGGUCGAUCCUGAGUUUCAGCUCUUCCUCUGCUUCGUGAUUUUCUUAACUUAAAAAACCAUCAACAUGCCUGAUGUCCUAAGGACCAUAAGUCAGUUUAGCUGUUUUACUUGAACAAUCGUAGCCACUCACUCGUUCUACACAACGAGUUCCGGCUACAACUAAUCCUAUAUGAAUAUUAGCUGUUUUGUGCAUCAACGCUUGGAGUGCUUCUCUUAAUUCCAGGAACAUAGUCUCGUUUCUUUACUCUCCCUGAUCUGCUCAUAAGAUAAAGAUACCUAUGUCUCAUCCCCAUCAAUGGAUGCUUCUCAAUCAAGAAAGCCUUAUGAUAACCUUCCCUUAACACAACAGUCUGCGUCCGAAUCUUGUGGGACAUGUAAAAUAUACCCGGAUGAUGCACCAAAGCCUUCUUCAACCUCGUCCCAAACCCUAAAUACUCCCCUAAACAAAGCACAUUCUCAGUCUCAGUCUUCUUAGAUACCAAUAGAUACAGAAGCUCGUGAAGUACGGCAACGGCCCACUUCUCAGCCUGAUCGCUGUACGAUCCUAAAUGAAACGCGUUUUCGUAAGGCGAAAUGUAAGGAAGGUCUUGCCAUUGGUCAACCCAGUUCUUUAUCCUUUUCUCUAACUCGUACCCUUUGGGGAAAUUCAUCGAAUACCUUAUGCGCAACCCCUUUUUCACACGAGACCCGUUGAUGGUACUUUCUCUUCUCUCCAUCUCCGACACGGCGAGGCUCUUCCGCGGCGAAGUAAGCGACAAAGCGAGAGUCUUUCCACCGUUUAACCGAUCGUUAACCUCUGUUACUUCAAAGUAAUCAGGGUAAUCGCAUAUCAACGAAGUAACGUAAUCGUGAGGGAGACCUAAAUCGAACCUGAAACGAUCGACGACGUAGAGAGGGAGACUCCCAGCUCCCGUGAGCAUCAAGAGCUUUGCGAGACGUUGAACGGCGACGUUACGGUGAGUCGGAGAGAGGUGGAUGGUCUCUUCUUCACUGUGGAGGUCGAGAGCUUGCGGAGUGAGGCGGACGUGGAGAGGGAGAGAGCGUGAAGGCUGGAACGUUGCGAAGACGGAAGGGUAUUUCUGGAGAAACGCGGCGGCGGUUACGUGGAGGUUGACGAGAGGCUUGAGGAGCGAGAGGGAAGAGAGAGGGAGUGAUUUCGAGGGAGAUGAUACGAUUAGGUCCUUUAGGGAGAGGAGUUGUUUGAGGUUUUUCUCUCGCUGGACUGCUUCGUCGAGGUAUGGGUCGCCGACCCAUUUGACUCUGGCGUUGAUGAAGGUGCGUCUUUGUUGUAGAGAUCUUCCUAGCUUGGUGGCCGUAGCUGCUGCCAUUAGAGUUUAGUGCAAAGUUUCUGUGAAGUUGUUGCCUUUUGGUUUAUAUUUACCCUGCAAAGUUCAGCUCAACGGAAGACUUUUGUCAUUCAUGGUCUGAAAUGGUUUAGACUGCAAAUUGAUUAUAGCCGAAAUAAAAAAAAAUGUAUGAGUUUCAUAUCGAUUGAAACUGUUUUAAACUGAUUAAUAUUAAUUUAAAUUAGUAAUCAAAUAUAUCAAAUCAAACAAUAAUGUUAAAGCAAAUUUACAAAUUUGUUUAAUUUCUUAUUUUUGCAUUUCUAACUUUUGUAUUUUAUAAAAUAAUUUUAUAACAAUAUCUAAAUUUUAAAUAUCUAAAAAAUAAAUCAAUAAUUUGAUAACUUUAAACCCUUGCCUAUACAAAGCUCCUAAUUACUGUGUAGGUAAUUUUUAACAUUUCUUUUUCAUUCAUUGCAAUGGCUAACUGAGAAAAAAGGAUAUUACUUUCAGUGAACAAGAAACUAGGUCUUUGAGGAUUAUCAAAACGCACAGCCUGGGUGUCACUAUAAGGGAAACCGUAAGGUUCAUGCAAGUAAGAAGAAAUAUCUAAUCGAAAGGGCUAGAAAAAGGAGGGAGUAGAGGAAUAAAAUAGCUGUUCCAAUGGCAGACAUGAGACUAUGAUCUUAAGAGAGAUGUCCCUAUUGCUUGAGCAUCUUAGUGACCGCGGCUCAUCUUAACUUUUGGCAUUGACUUCUUCAUCUGUCGUGCACGUUCUUUAGCCUCUUUCUUCCUAAGAGCCUCGGCGCUAAGCUUUGCCUCGGCCUCCUCCAAUAGUUUCUUCUUCUCGGCUUUCUUUCUCUGUAAUGCCUCUUGCCUCACAUUCUCUAGUUCCUUGUACGCUUCCUGAGCCGCCUUUUGUCUAGCACCAUCGGUUUUGUUCCGUGCCUGCGUACACAAAUUUUACUUUAUUCAACCUGUCACGCAUGAUGAUAAAACUGCAAGUGAUAAUAAGUUUGCCACUAUACCUGGGAGCUGAGCUUGUAGCGCCCAAUUAAGUCAAUGUAAUACGGAAUAAGGGCUACCAAGCGAACCAUAUCAUCCAUGUGUUUAGCAUCAGGUAGGGCGAACUUGAAAAGCAGCAUCUUCCUGUGUUUGCCAGGAAGUUGGUCCGAAAAAUGCAUUGAGAUGAAAUACUUUCCAAACUUUUCGAACGACUUGUCACCAAAAACCUACAGAGCGCAAUUGCAUCAUCCAAAUUUGAUGAGUAUGUAUAACAGAUGAUUUGAGGAGAUACACAAGCCACACAUUAACAAGCAAAGAUCAACAAUCUAGGUCCAACAGAACUGAGAUCCAUUUCCACAUCAACAGAAGAGGACUCAGAUAUCCCCAGUGGAUGACAAUUUAUAAUCAUGCACCAAUUCACUAUAGACAUAAAACAAUUGGAAUAUAUUAUCCUAAAUACACAGCAAAAGGAACCUAGGGGAUUUUUCUGUACAUCACAAGUCUGCACCCUGUAUCUCCGUAUAACUGGAC